UAUGCCCAUAGAAUAGCUUUGCACUUGUUCAAUUCACUCUUCUCUUUUAUUCCCUUAGAGGUUUUCUCUUUGGUUUUCUAUAAAUUGCAAAUAACUUGCAGCAAUGCAUUCUUUGCAGAGAAACCAGCACCAUAAAGCUCUAAUGCUGGCUGGGUGUUUUGGAUGCUUCUGGGGUAAGAAUAAUACGAAACACCAAACCUAGUUAUUAAAGGAGCCAUUUCUUUUGUCAUGGGGUGGCAUGAGGCAUCACAGUGAGGCAUAAGGCCAAGUUUUGUUUCCAGCCUUUGGUCAGAUGCUGUAAGUUGGCCAGGGCACAGGAGGAUAUUUUAGCACAAGGCUUUUGCUUGGCGGGCACUAAGGAACUUGUCGCUUACUUUGGCUGUUUCAUGCUGCCAGAUAACAAGAUUUUUUCCUAGUCUGUUGUUCACUGCUGCUUUGCUUGGUGCAUCUCUCUCCUGCCUGGUAACAACUUCUUCUAUUCUGGUCCUGUUUUUUCUGCCAGCAACCACUAGGGUGGUUUUCUGUAAAUGGGCAAACCCUUACAGUAUUCGCUAGUUAAAGAAUGCAAAAUUUUUGUCAUUAGUAACGUAAACCCCCCAUUUGGAGUCUUGGCUUCAGCAACAAAAAUCUUGUGGAUUAACCACUUUCACCAGCGAGAGGCUUUCUGAUGAGCUGUGGGAAGAAGUGUAUGCUUGGCGGUAGGUCUACAGUAAACAGCUGGAAUUUGCAUGUGGUGAAUUAGCACCAAAUAAAAUCCCCCUUUUUUUGCUUAAUUAUCCUUGCAUACUCAAGUGGAUCUAUUAAACGUUUGUGCAAUAGAAAUUGGUAAACCCACACACUUACAAUAAGUGGGUUUUGAUUGUCCACAGACCGAGAUUUGUCUGCUCUGCUGGUGGCAGGGCCUGUGUAGGUAAUGUAAUGGUCUAUGAUCUGAUGAAGGGACCACUCUCUUCCCAGACUCGUCCUUGGCAGGCAGUGAUGCCCUGAGCCGGACUGAAGCACUGCAGUCAUUGAAAGCCCUUGCUUCAACUCUGAAUCUUUAACUACUUUACAUUAACUUUGAGACCUACUGUUUUGAAUCCUAUGAAGCUGCAAGCAUAAGCAGGUUGAAGAUACGCUGCAUUUAUAUUUCACAGGCUUCUUAGUUGUUGGUUUUCUCUAAAGAGGUAGUAAAAGGUAAAAUGUUUCUGACAAGUGCUUGAAGUCCUUAUUUCUCUGAAGACGACAAGAGGGCUAAUGGGUUCCUUACAGCUGAUGUUGCAUUUCUUUCUUCUUUGCAAUUUAGGGUGAGAUUUCUAAAAGCCUUUUUCAGUUGGAAGCCUAGUGAUGUUUUCCAGAGUGUUGAAACAGGAAGAAAACCUUAGCAUCCCAGACCAGGCAAGCAGUGAUUAUUAUCUCAGCCAAGCAGACGCUACUUCUGUGGCUCAGUGAAGUUACGGUUGUUGCAGGAGGAGUGUGCCAGCCAGAGAGACAACAUUUAAAGCCCAUGGCCUGAAGGUAUGAGUAUUUACCCGGGAGGAUGGGGAGCAGAAUUUUAGUCCUUGCUUUGACCUGGCUGAAAGCUGGUGGUUAAGAGGUUCAUUUCCCAUAUUUCUGGCAGAUAUGUCCCUUUUCCUGGGGCUGCAGAUGCUUGCUUGCUUGCUUGCUUUCUAAAGCAGAUCUUUGUAUCCAUGAGGAGACUCACAGAGUAAAUUCAUACAUUAAUCCAGAAGUUCUUGUCCUGGUCUGUCAUGUGGAAAAAUGAAUGUGUUUGGGCACACUUUCUAGGUUUUUGGCUUCAUCUCAGAAUGUCUGUGUUUACAGCAGGCCAUUUUCCUGUUACAGCUGGUCUCCUUUUGGCUAACUUCCUUCUUAGCCCAGUAGUUUUGUCAGUGACCCGACUUAGGAGAAAUGUGUCCAUAGCUGACAGGCUUCUGGCUAUUUGUGGAGUCGCUUUUUUCCCCCAUCAUGUUCUACUUUGUAUUAGGUCCUUAUGCUGGAGAAGAGGCUUUCUGGCACGUUAGCCCCCUUGCGAAUGCAAGGGAACAAACUGCAGUUGUGUUACUGGAGAGGUUAGUGGGCAUUUCUUAGUCUCUGCAGUGUCCUUCAUUUUCUGCUUGUCUUGUUUUAGCCUAAUUAGCUGCCAUGUAGAUCAGAGCAGGAGGCCAUCAGGAAAUGGAAUGGUUGCUUCAAAGCCUUGUGCACUUUAGUGGUUUCAAAGGAGUGCAGAUGACUGAUGCUCUGGAUUCUGCUGUCCUACAGCCUGGAGCGAAGAUUGGGUCUUUAAGGUCCCACAUGUGCUGCAAAUUGACCUAACCAUCAAGCUAUCACUUGUACAACUAACUUACUGCCUUUUGUUAGCUAAUCCAAAGGGGAAACUACAACAGAAGAUAAUUCUCUAGAGCUGGUGAGUCCCUAAAAGCCCAACUAGUGAAUCUGUCAUCACUUUCUGUGUAAGAAGCCAAAGUUAGCCUGCAGCAUUGUUCUUUUAUGUAACAGAGGGGAAAUGGCUCUGUUCCAGGUGAUCCAGAAGCCUGAGGAGCCAGACCAUCCUGUGAUGUUGGCCUGAUUAGCUGUAAAUAAUCCUGGCUCAACUGCCCUGUUCUGUGUCUUUGCCCUUCGGUGGUUUUUUGGUGAGGGGAGGGAGAAGGAUGUGUAUUUCCUAGCUACUAGGAUAUCUCCUGUGUUUAUGAAUGGGACUACCUGUACUGUGGUCUGUGCAGAAGUGGUUUUGGUGCAUGCGUGGAAUGAAGUAUGGAGGGAGAGAGUGGGUUUAUGAAUGCUUGUGCAGAAGCAUCUGGGUAAUUAACUCAGCCAUUAGGUAGGAGCAUUUAAAUCCUUUUAGACAUUUUCUGUGGGAAAUACAGGGUAAUCAUCUCCUCGGGCACGCAAGAGAGGCAUAGUUAGAUGCUGACUUCUGCCUAAAUUUCACAUCGGGAAUUUAGGAGUCGUUUUUGAGUCUCACCUGGAAUACUUUAUUUGGUAUCACAAGGAUUUAAACCUGGUCUUACUGCCAGGGUAACACCACCAUCACCAGGCCUUUUUUACUAGCUCAUCCGUCUCCACUGACAAGCUGGCACGGUACAGCGAGGGCCCAGGCCAGUUUGCUCUUUCAGUCUUGCAGGAACAAAUGCUGAUUAGCAGUGGGGAGCAGGAGCGGACACUGACCCAAGUCGCAGAGGGUAUUCCAGGGUAGCGCUGAUACUCUGUUUCAGGUACUCCCAUGGGAGCAUCCUAAGCCUUGCAUAUUAGUUAACCUUUCCCAUAGUUGCUACAUGUGAAAGGGCUUUGAUCUAUGAAUGAACCCAACACAUGGUGCUUGCUCACUGUAUGUUAACAGCAGAGAUGUUAUUUUUAGCUCCUGAAUUCUUUUUCUCCUUCACUGUUAGAGCUGAAAGACCUUUCGUCCUUAAGACAGGCAACUGUUCACUACAUAAAGUGUAUGUGGGACAACGUGCUAUAUAAGGCUAACAUCUCUAUUGGGAACAAUUUUUUUUUCAAAAUGGGUAAGUGGCUUUUUAAAUAGCCAUUAAAAAACCUAAAUAAAGUAGUCAUGUUUUAAAAAGUUUUAAAAAGAACUGUUAUCUUUGGAACAUGUAAUUUACAGAACUCACUACAGUAAUCCUUGAUUUAGAAGAUUACUGCACUAAAGUACUUGCUUUUUUCCCUUUAAAAACAAAACCAAACCCCAGACCGAAAACCAGACAGGUUUCCAGCAAAGGCUGGGAUAAUUGACUGGAAUGGAAACGUAGCUAAGUCUUGCAAAACUCCAGUAUACAGUUGCUGUCCUCUCAGAGGUCUUUUCUGCUGCCAUCUGAAAACAUUCCCUUGCCUUGUCACUUCUUUUGCUUUUUUUUAAACUGUAUUGGGUUUGCGUGGCAAGGUUUUGGUAGCAGGGAGGCUACAGGGGCAGCUUCUGUGAGAAGCUGCUAGAAGCUUCCCCCAUGUCCCAUAGGGCCAAUGCCAGCCAGUUCCAAGAUGGACCCACCUCUGGCCGAGGCUGAGCCCAUCAAGCGAUGGUGGUAGCGCCUCAGGGAUGACAUAUUUAAGAAGAGG